CAAAGGCUUGGUCCUGACCUUACUGUCAGCUCUUGCUCAACUUACACAUGCAAGUCUCCGCGCACCUGUGAGAAUGCCCUAAAACACCUCCCCCGGGAAAAAGGAGCUGGUAUCAGGCACGCCCAACAAGCAGCCCAUUACACCUUGUUUAACCACACCCCCAAGGGUCCGCAGCAGUGAUAAAUAUUAAGCAAUAAGUGCAAACUCGACUUAAUUAGAGCCUAAAGGGCCGGUAAAACUCGUGCCAGCCACCGCGGUUAUACGAGAGGCCCAAGUUGACAACCCUCGGCGUAAAGGGUGGUUAAAUUUUUUGAAAUUAAAGCUGAACUCCCUCCUGACUGUUGCACGCACCCGAGGAAUAGAAACCCUUCUACGAAAGUGACUUUAAUUUAUUGAACCCACGAAAGCUAAGGUACAAACUGGGAUUAGAUACCCCACUAUGCUUAGCCUUAAACUUAUACGCCCCCCUUACAAGGGCGUACGCCAGGGUAUUACGAGCAUAAGCUUAAAACCCAAAGGACUUGGCGGUGCUUAAUAACCCCCUAGAGGAGCCUGUUCUAGAACCGAUACCCCUCGUUAAACCUCACCCCUUCUUGCUUUUACCGUCUAUAUACCGCCGUCGUCAGCUCACCCUGUGAAGGCCUCAUAGUAAGCACAACUAGACUACCUUAAAACGUCAGGUCGAGGUGUAGCAAAUGAAGGGGGAAGAAAUGGGCUACAUUUCCUACUUUAGGAUAUACGGACUGUAUGCUGAAACACAUACUACAAAGGAGGAUUUAGUAGUAAAUAGAAAAUAGAGAGUUCUAUUGAAACCGGGCCUUAAAGCGCGCACAC
rnacentral:ncRNA from 1 species